UACGUAGGCAGCGAGCGUUGUUCGGAAUUACUGGGCGUAAAGAGUGUGUAGGCGGUGCUCUAAGUUCGGUGUGAAAUCUCCCGGCUCAACUGGGAGGGUGCGCCGGAAACUGGGGUGCUGGAGCGCGGGAGAGGAAAGCGGAAUUCCUGGUGUAGCGGUGAAAUGCGCAGAUAUCAGGAGGAACACCGGUGGCGAAGGCGGGUCUC
rnacentral:rRNA from 1 species